rnacentral:lncRNA from 1 species
AGAGUACUGUUCAUCUUCAUAAUCUUCAUCUUCAUCCUCCUGGCUGAAAGGCUCAGCAUUCUCAUCUUCUGAAUCUCUCCCCUCUUCUUGAUCCUUCGGAAUUCUAAUCUUGACUCCUGCAGCCUGUCCUUUAAGCCUUCUUCCCGGAUUAAUGUAACUCACAGGUUUCUUGUCUUUUUUCUUCUCGAGCAAGAGAGCCUUCAGUUCCUCCUGC